UGGUGGCUCAUGCCUGUAAUCGUAGCUACUCAGGAGGCUGUGAUCUGAGGAUUGUCGUUCAAAGCCAGUAACGGUAGGAAAGUCCGUGAAACUCUCAUCUCCAAUAAACCACCAGAAAA